rnacentral:rRNA from 1 species
GAUGAACGCUAGCUACAGGCUUAACACAUGCAAGUCGCGGGGCAGCAUGGGGGUUGCUUGCAACCCCUGAUGGCGACCGGCGCACGGGUGAGUAACGCGUAUCCAACCUGCCCUUCACCACGGGCUAACCCGGCGCAAGUCUGACUCAUACCGUAUGUUGUCCAUUGACGGCAUCCGAUUUUGACGCAAGUCUUCUCUCAGAUAUGAUGGGGAUGCGUCCGAUUAGCUUGACGGCGAGGUAACGGCCCACCGUGGCUACGAUCGGUAGGGGUUCUGAGAGGAAGGUCCCCCACACUGGAACUGAGACACGGUCCAGACUCCGACGGGAGGCAGCAGUGAGGAAUAUUGAGCAAUGAGCGUAAGCCUGAACCAGCCAAGUAGCGUGCAGGAUGACGGGCCUAUGGGUUGUAAACUGCUUUUAUGCGGGGAUAAAGUGGCCCACGUGUGGGCUUUUGCAGGUACCGCAUGAAUAAGGACCGGCUAAUUCCGUG